CACUAGAAACCACUCUUACCAAGAACAAAGUGCAUUUGGAAAACCUUUUAAAAGUCAUCUCUGGAAAGUGGCCUUGGAUAAACAGUCACUGUUCACUUAAAAGGGCAUACAGGCGCGUUUGUCUGAAAGGAGGGAACAGAGAGAGAAAGGCAGACAGAGACCAUAUCUGUACCUCUACGGUACUCCUGUAAGGCUGGCCUGUACGUCGACCCUGAGGCCAGACCUAAAUUCACUGUGGCCUGCUCUGAGGAUCAACUGAACUUGAUUGAUAGCCCGUGGCUUAACAGUCGUGUCCAUCAGAGCUUGACUUGCACUGCGCACCACAUAUCAGUAAAACGCUCAAGCAUAACCCUGGAUCAGGGGGUACAUCAAGGAAGAAGCUCAGUUUCCAAUAACUCUGGCUGUUCGGCAUUGUACUGCAUCGAAUGGAAGUUGAAGACAUGCUGGCAAAGUUUAGGACGAGAAUAUUAAACUGUCAGAUUAGAUUAUAAAUUGUACAAUCUUUGCUCACAUGUCAUUAAGAUGGUACUGAUAGAGGGCUUGGCCGUGGCCGUGAAGCGGGUGGACUGCAGUGUUCAUCACUUUUCUGGUAAUCUACCCUGUCAGGCCAAAUUAAAGACAGAAAAAUGGGGCAGCAACAGUAACCUCCGGCUGACAAAGAGGGCCAUGAACGAGACCAAGGAGCCAAUCCCAUUGUGCCUUUCAGAGACCUUCUUCUGCAGAGGAACAGCUGGACAGCAAUCAGGCAGGUGUCGACCCCGCACAACAGACCCAUCAG